CAGAGUAGAGAUCGGCGCGUGAAUGUGUUCUGCGGACGGGGAGUUGCUGCGGAAACGAAAGGGGAAGACCCUGCGAUGCCGGUUUCGCAUCCCGCUG
rnacentral:ncRNA from 1 species